CCGCAUGGGCUGGUGGUGGAAAGGGUUAUGUACUGGUCUUAGAUGGGCUCACGGCCUAUCAGCUGGUUGGUGGGGUAAUGGCCUACCAAGGCGACGACGGGUAGCCGGCCUGAGAGGGUGACCGGCCACACUGGGACUGAGACACGGCCCAGACUCCUACGGGAGGCAGCAGUGGGGAAUAUUGCACAAUGGGCGCAAGCCUGAUGCAGCGACGCCGCGUGAGGGAUGACGGCCUUCGGGUUGUAAACCUCUUUCAGCAGGGAAGAAGCGAGAGUGACGGUACCUGCAGAAGAAGCGCCGGCUAACUACGUGCCAGCAGCCGCGGUAAUACGUAGGGCGCAAGCGUUGUCCGGAAUUAUUGGGCGUAAAGAGCUCGUAGGCGGCUUGUCGCGUCUGCUGUGAAAGCCCGGGGCUUAACUCCGGGUGUGCAGUGGGUACGGGCAGGCUAGAGUGCAGUAGGGGUAACUGGAAUUCCUGGUGUAGCGGUGAAAUGCGCAGAUAUCAGGAGGAACACCGAUGGCGAAGGCAGGUUACUGGGCUGUUACUGACGCUGAGGAGCGAAAGCAUGGGGAGCGAACAGGAUUAGAUACCCUGGUAGUCCAUGCCGUAAACGUGGGGCACUAGGUGUGGGGGACAUUCCACGUUUUCGCGCCGUAGCUAACGCAUUAAGUGCCCCGCCUGGGAGUACGGCCGCAAGGCUAAAACUCAAAGGAAUUGACGGGGGCCCGCACAAGCGGCGGAGCAUGCGGAUUAAUUCGAUGCAACGCGAAGAACCUUACCAAGGCUUGACAUACACCGGAUCGUUCCAGAGAUGGUUCUUCCCUUUUGGGCUGGUGUACAGGUGGUGCAUGGUUGUCGUCAGCUCGUGUCGUGAGAUGUUGGGUUAAGUCCCGCAACGAGCGCAACCCUCGUUCUAUGUUGCCAGCACGUGAUGGUGGGGACUCAUAGGAGACUGCCGGGGUCAACUCGGAGGAAGGUGGGGAUGACGUCAAAUCAUCAUGCCCCUUAUGUCUUGGGCUUCACGCAUGCUACAAUGGCCGGUACAAUGGGUUGCGAUACUGUGAGGUGGAGCUAAUCCCAAAAAGCCGGUCUCAGUUCGGAUUGGGGUCUGCAACUCGACCCCAUGAAGUCGGAGUCGCUAGUAAUCGCAGAUCAGCAACGCUGCGGUGAAUACGUUCCCGGGCCUUGUACACACCGCCCGUCAAG
rnacentral:rRNA from 1 species